AGAGUUUGAUCCUGGCUCAGGAUGAACGCUGGCGGUGUGCCUAAUACAUGCAAGUCGUACGCGUUGGCCCAACUGAUUUGAAGUGCUUGCACGGAUCUGACGUUGGUUUACCAACGAGUGGCGGACGGGUGAGUAACACGUAGGUAACCUGCCCAGAAGCGGGGGACAACACUUGGAAACAGGUGCUAAUACCGCAUAACAAUUCAAAUCGCAUGAUUUGAAUUUGAAAGAUGGUUUCGGCUAUCACUUCUGGAUGGACCUGCGGCGCAUUAGCUUGUUGGUGGGGUAACGGCCUACCAAGGCAGUGAUGCGUAGCCGAGUUGAGAGACUGAUCGGCCACAAUGGGACUGAGACACGGCCCAUACUCCUACGGGAGGCAGCAGUAGGGAAUCUUCCACAAUGGGCGCAAGCCUGAUGGAGCAACACCGCGUGAGUGAAGAAGGUUUUCGGAUCGUAAAGCUCUGUUGUUGAAGAAGAACGUGCAUGAGAGUAACUGUUCAUGCAGUGACGGUAUUCAACCAGAAAGUCACGGCUAACUACGUGCCAGCAGCCGCGGUAAUACGUAGGUGGCAAGCGUUAUCCGGAUUUAUUGGGCGUAAAGAGAGUGCAGGCGGUUUCUUAAGUCUGAUGUGAAAGCCUUCGGCUCAACCGAAGAAGUGCAUCGGAAACUGGGAAACUUGAGUACAGAAGAGGGCAGUGGAACUCCAUGUGUAGCGGUGGAAUGCGUAGAUAUAUGGAAGAACACCAGUGGCGAAGGCGGCUGCCUGGUCUGUAACUGACGCUGAGACUCGAAAGCAUGGGUAGCGAACAGGAUUAGAUACCCUGGUAGUCCAUGCCGUAAACGAUGAGUGCUAGGUGUUGGAGGGUUUCCGCCCUUCAGUGCCGGAGCUAACGCAUUAAGCACUCCGCCUGGGGAGUACGACCGCAAGGUUGAGACUCAAAGGAAUUGACGGGGGCCCGCACAAGCGGUGGAGCAUGUGGUUUAAUUCGAAGCUACGCGAAGAACCUUACCAGGUCUUGACAUCUUGCGCCAACCCUAGAGAUAGGGCGUUUCCUUCGGGAACGCAAUGACAGGUGGUGCAUGGUCGUCGUCAGCUCGUGUCGUGAGAUGUUGGGUUAAGUCCCGCAACGAGCGCAACCCUUGUUACUAGUUGCCAGCAUUAAGUUGGGCACUCUAGUGAGACUGCCGGUGACAAACCGGAGGAAGGUGGGGACGACGUCAGAUCAUCAUGCCCCUUAUGACCUGGGCUACACACGUGCUACAAUGGACGGUACAACGAGCAGCGAACUCGCGAGGGCAAGCAAAUCUCUUAAAACCGUUCUCAGUUCGGAUUGCAGGCUGCAACUCGCCUGCAUGAAGUCGGAAUCGCUAGUAAUCGCGGAUCAGCAUGCCGCGGUGAAUACGUUCCCGGGCCUUGUACACACCGCCCGUCA
rnacentral:rRNA from 1 species